rnacentral:rRNA from 1 species
CUACGGGGGGCAGCAGUGAGGAAUAUUGCGCAAUGGGGGAAACCCUGACGCAGCGACGCCGCGUGGAUGAUGAAGGCCUUCGGGUCGUAAAAUCCUGUCAGAAGGAAAGAAGUAUAUGGUAGCUAAUAUCUGCCAUAUUUGACGGUACCUUCAAAGGAAGCACCGGCUAACUCCGUGCCAGCAGCCGCGGUAAUACGGAGGGUGCAAGCGUUGUUCGGAAUUACUGGGCGUAAAGCGCGCGUAGGCGGCUGUUUAAGUCAGAUGUGAAAGCCCAUGGCUUAACCAUGGACGUGCAUUUGAUACUGGGCAGCUUGAGUACUGGAGGGGGUGGUGGAAUUCCCGGUGUAGAGGUGAAAUUCGUAGAUAUCGGGAGGAAUACCGGUGGCGAAGGCGACCACCUGGCCAGAUACUGACGCUGAGGUGCGAAAGCGUGGGGAGCAAACAGGAUUAGAUACCCUAGUAGUC